UACAGAGGGUGCAAGCGUUGUUCGGAAUUACUGGGCGUAAAGCGCGUGUAGGCUGCGAUGUAAGUCAGGUGUGAAAGCCCUCAGCUUAACUGAGGAAGUGCACUUGAUACUGUGUCGCUUGAGUGUCGGAGGGGGUGGCGGAAUUCCCGGUGUAGAGGUGAAAUUCGUAGAUAUCGGGAGGAACACCUGUGGCGAAGGCGGCCACCUGGACGACAACUGACGCUGAGAGACGAAAGCUAGGGGAGCGAAUGGG
rnacentral:rRNA from 1 species